rnacentral:rRNA from 1 species
UACGGAGGGAGCUAGCGUUGUUCGGAAUUACUGGGCGUAAAGCGCGCGUAGGCGGCUUUGUAAGUUAGAGGUGAAAGCCCGGGGCUCAACCCCGGAACUGCCUUUAAGACUGCAUCGCUUGAAUCCAGGAGAGGUGAGUGGAAUUCCGAGUGUAGAGGUGAAAUUCGUAGAUAUUCGCAAGAACACCAGUGGCGAAGGCGGCUCACUGGCCCGGUACUGACGCUGAGAUGCGAAAGUGUGGGGAGCGAUCAGG